rnacentral:misc_RNA from 1 species
AACUUUUAGCAAUGGAUCUCUUGGUUCUGGCAUUGAUGAAGAACGCAGCGAAAUGCGAUAAGUAAUGUGAAUUGCAGAAUUCAGUGAAUCAUCGAAUCUUUGAACGCACAUUGCGCCCCUUGGUAUUCCGAGGGGCAUGCCUGUUCGAGCGUCAUUAUAACCACUCAAGCCUCGGCUUGGUCUUGGGGUUCGCGGUCUCGCGGCCCUUAAAAUCAGUGGCGGUGCCGUCUGGCUCUAAGCGUAGUAAUUCUCUCGCUAUAGAGUCCCGGUGGCUACCUGCCAGAACCCCCCAUUUUUUACGGUUGACCUCGGAUCAGGUAGGGAUACCCGCUGAACUUAAGCAUAUCAAUAAGCGGAGGCU